rnacentral:rRNA from 1 species
UACGAAGGGGGCUAGCGUUGUUCGGAAUUACUGGGCGUAAAGCGCACGUAGGCGGAUAUUUAAGUCAGGGGUGAAAUCCCAGAGCUCAACUCUGGAACUGCCUUUGAUACUGGGUAUCUUGAGUAUGGAAGAGGUAAGUGGAAUUGCGAGUGUAGAGGUGAAAUUCGUAGAUAUUCGCAGGAACACCAGUGGCGAAGGCGGCUUACUGGUCCAUAACUGACGCUGAGGUGCGAAAGCGUGGGGAGCAAACAGGAUUAGAAAACCCCCU